rnacentral:rRNA from 1 species
UACGAAGGGGGCUAGCGUUGCUCGGAAUUACUGGGCGUAAAGGGCGCGUAGGCGGUGGUGCAAGUGGAAGGUGAAAUCCCUCGGCUCAACCGAGGAACUGCCUUUCAAACUGCACGACUGAGUCCGGGAGAGGUGAGUGGAAUUCCCAGUGUAGCGGUGAAAUUGCGUAGAGAUGUGGAGGAACACCGAUGGCGAAGGCAGCCUUCUGGGCCAACACUGACGCUCAUGCACGAAAGCGUGGGGAGCAAACAGG